rnacentral:rRNA from 2 species
GACGAACGCUGGCGGCGUGCUUAACACAUGCAAGUCGAACGAGAAUACUUAGACAGAAGCCUUCGGGUGGAAGACUUUGUAUUCGAGUGGCGGACGGGUGAGUAACGCGUGAGUAACCUGCCUUGAAGAGGGGAAUAACAGCGAGAAAUCGUUGCUAAUACCGCAUAAGACUACAGGAUCGCAUGAUCUAGGAGUCAAAGAUUUAUCGCUUCAAGAUGGACUCGCGUCCCAUUAGCUAGUUGGUAGGGUAAUGGCCUACCAAGGCGACGAUGGGUAGCCGGACUGAGAGGUCGAUCGGCCACACUGGGACUGAGACACGGCCCAGACUCCUACGGGAGGCAGCAGUGGGGAAUAUUGGGCAAUGGGCGCAAGCCUGACCCAGCAACGCCGCGUGAAGGAAGAAUGUUUUCGGACUGUAAACUUCUGUCCUCAGGGAUAGAAAAAAUGACAGUACCUGAGGAGGAAGCCCCGGCUAACUACGUGCCAGCCGCCGCCGCCGUAAG